GCACCCCUAGCUUAAUUGGAUAGAGCAUCGGUCUACGGAACCGAAGGUUACCUGUUCGAGUCAGGUGGGGUGUA
rnacentral:tRNA from 1 species